CCUGCCUCUGACACAUGCUGGCUGUCACUUAAACUGUCAGUGCUCUGGGUAACUGUGAGACUGUAAGUUGCAGAGGAAAAAUGCCAGCCUUUUUUGUUAUAGAGAGUUCCUUCAGCAUAGAGUUCCCUAUACUAGUGAAAUCACUGGUCCAGUCCCUAUCCCUUUAUAAUUUUCCAAUGACAGGUCAAUCCUCUUGUGUUUAAUAUGAUACGUAUUCAUUUAAAAGCAUUAUAGAAUGCAUAGUUGUUUUUAAUUGAUAUGGAUUUUCUCAAACAAUGAAUAUUAAUAAUACAGGUACUCAUGUUUGAGACUGCACAAGUUUCUGACAUGGUUCCAUUUCCGUUCAACUCAUCAAAGACUUUAAAGCUUUUGCUAUGUCCUAGAGAAGGUGUAGAGCACUGGGGACACAAAGACAGAACUGAAAAACAGCCUCUGCCCCCAAAAGGGCCUUCAUUCUACCAGAAGGAGAACGUGCCUGUGUUCACAGCGAAGUCAACGAAAGAGAGCUGGUGGUUAAACAUUUACAAGCAUACCCUCCAUUCCAACCCACCUGCAUCAACAUCUUUAUUGAAUUAUUCGGUCAUUCAAUCAGAAUAAUCCGUGAACAAGGCCUGGGCAUCUCCUUGAAGCAAUCAAAAACAAGUCAACUAGAUGCUAAAGGAAGUCUGUUCUCAUUGCAUAAAGGCCUUGGUAAUGCACUGUAGCUGUAUAAAAUCAGUGAGCUCAUGCAGAAUCCAGGAAACUUGAGUGCCUGACAGUGCUGAGGAGAGAAUGUUCAGGCUAAACUCUGAGAAGGAAUUGAUUUGAGAGGGAAAGAGUAGCAGAGCCUCAGGCCUCAGCCUGAAUUUCAAUCUCCUUCCUGUCCCUUUGACCCAGGACUGGUUUUGUGAAUUUUGGAAAUUUUGGAGAUUUGAAGCUUCCUAUAUUCCCAUGAGUUUCCCUAUUUCCUCUGGAACAGCUAAUGGCAUGAUCUAUAUCAGAAGCCAAGGACAGAAUGGACAUAGAUUCAAGGCUCUCCAAAGAGCCUCAGAAAUCUACCUCAAAACUGAGAAGACCAUAAUGAGAACUUGUACUGAAGGACUUUUGAGAGCUUUGAGUUACCCCCUUUGCCACUUGUACUAUCUAAUCCUGAGCCCU
rnacentral:lncRNA from 1 species